ensembl:misc_RNA Metazoa_SRP Metazoan signal recognition particle RNA
GCUGGGCAUGGUGGCAUGUGCCUGUAAUCCCAGAUACUCAGGAGGCUGAGAUGGGAGGAUUGCUUGAGCCCAGGAGUUCUGGGCUGUAGUAUGCUAUGCCGAUCGGGUGUCCUCACUAAGUUCGGCAUCAAUAUGGUGACCUCCCGGGAGCAGGGGACCACCAGGUUGCCUGAGGAGGGGUGAAUCGGCCCAGGUUGGAAAUGGAGCAGGUCAAAACUCCCGUGCUGAUCAGUAAUGGGAUUGUGCCUGUGAAUAGCCACUGCACUCCAGCCUGGGCAACAUAGUGAGACCCAUCUCUU